AUGAACGCUGGCGGCGUGCCUAAUCCAUGCAAGUCGAGCGAACGGACGAGAAGCUUGCUUCUCUGAUGUUAGCGGCGGACGGGUGAGUAACACGUGGAUAACCUACCUAUAAGACUGGGAUAACUUCGGGAAACCGGAGCUAAUACCGGAUAAUAUUUUGAACCGCAUGAUUCAAAAGUGAAAGACGGUCUUGCUGUCACUUAUAGAUGGAUCCGCGCUGCAUUAGCUAGUUGGUAAGGUAACGGCUUACCAAGGCAACGAUGCAUAGCCGACCUGAGAGGGUGAUCGGCCACACUGGAACUGAGACACGGUCCAGACUCCUACGGGAGGCAGCAGUAGGGAAUCUUCCGCAAUGGGCGAAAGCCUGACGGAGCAACGCCGCGUGAGUGAUGAAGGUCUUCGGAUCGUAAAACUCUGUUAUUAGGGAAGAACAUAUGUGUAAGUAACUGUGCACAUCUUGACGGUACCUAAUCAGAAAGCCACGGCUAACUACGUG
rnacentral:rRNA from 1 species